UACGUAGGUGACGAGCGUUGUCCGGAUUUACUGGGCGUAAAGAGCGCGCAGGCGGUCGUUCAAGUCGAGUGUGAAAGCCCCCGGCUCAACUGGGGAGGGUCACUCGAUACUGAUCGACUCGAAGGCAGGAGAGGGUAGUGGAAUUCCCGGUGUAGUGGUGAAAUGCGUAGAUAUUGGGAGGAACACCGGUGGCGAAGGCGGCCAUCUGGGCAGCAACUGACGCUGAGGCGCGAGAGCGUGGGGAGCAAACAGG
rnacentral:rRNA from 1 species